GACGAACGCUGGCGGCGUGCUUAACACAUGCAAGUCGAGCGGAGCGGCGAACGGGUGAGUAACGCGUGAGUAAUUGCCCCCCUCCCUGGGAUAACAGUUGGAAACUGCUGCUAAUACCUGAUAGUGGGGGAUGACUCGCGUCCUAUCAGCUUGUCGGUGGGGUAGUGGCCUACCAAGGCGACGACGGGUAGCCGGCCUGAGAUGGGGACCGGCCACAUUGGGCUGAGAUACGGCCCAGACUGCUACGGGAGGCAGCGGUGGGGAAUAUUGCACAAGGGGGGAAACCCUGAUGCAGCAACGCCGCGUGCGGGAUGAAGGCCUUCGGGUUGUAAACCGCUUUAAGCCAUGAAGCGGUAGUGACAGAAGAAGCACCGGCUAACUACGUGCCAGCCGCCGCGGUAAUUC
rnacentral:rRNA from 1 species